GAUGAAGAACGCAGCGAAAUGCGAUAAGUAGUGUGAAUUGCAGAAUUCAGUGAAUCAUCGAAUCUUUGAACGCACAUUGCGCCCCUUGGUAUCCCGAGGGGCAUGCCUGUUCGGGCGUCAUUUCACCACUCAAGCCUGGCUUGGUGUUGGGCGACGUCCUCUUUGGGGACGCGCCUCGAAACGCUCGGCGGCGUGGCACCGGCUUUAAGCGUAGCAGAAUCUUUCGCUUUGGAAGUCGGGGCCCCGUCUGCCGGAAGACCUGCUCGCAAGGUUGACCUCGGAUCAGGCAGGGAUACCCGCUGAACUUAAGCAUAUCAAUAAGCGGAGGA
rnacentral:misc_RNA from 1 species